UGUCAUUAUGAUUUGGAAAUUUGCUAUGAAGCAAGUGGAAGGAUUGAAAAACAAAACCAAGAGACCUGGGGUGGGGGAAUGAGGCUGCAGUGGAGCAAAUAAAAAUGCUUAGAAGAAAGUUUCCCAGGACAGCUAGGAGAAGGGAGCCUUGGCAGGGCUUCCUGAUGGGUGUCUACUUGUUCGACUACUGGUGAAGAAGGAAAAGUACAACAGACAUCAAGGAAACCAGCACAGUCUCAUCCCUGAGUGCGCACUGCUGACUUAUCAGCUUUUAAAUUGCUGACAAAUGACAAGCUCCUGUAAUGAUCCAGUUCAGAGGGUGUCGUCUUGGAGGAACACAGGGAUGCUCCUGGCAGGGUCAUUACUGGAAGUCGUUAAUCACUGAUUUGAUAUUCAAAGCUGAUGGCGAAGUCAAAGCAGUCCUCUCCCUCUUUCACAGAUGUCUUGAGGACCUUAAAAAGUCUUGCAUGUGGGCUCAUGGCCCUGAUGAAGCAGAAGCUGCCUGCAGGCACAAUAACCCCCCUCUUGGACAGCUGGAUGAAGACAUCACUCAUCAAGCAUCAGCCAUCUCCAGUCCUGGGAAAAGGUGGUAUGAGAGAACGGCACUCUGCAUUGACCUGAGGAGCACUGCGGCUUCUCUUGGGGUUUGACAGCAAAGAUGUCCCAUGAGAUCUACCAAGUCUGAGGGUCCUCUUCUGAGGCAUGCAUGCUUACUAAGUGAGAUUUGACUGCAGAUGCUAAGAUAUCGGGACUUUUGCCGAAGAAAUUUUUGUUGUUGUUGGAAGUAGCCAGGAGGAGCCCAGCUUGGUUCGGAAAACAGGGUGGGAAGCUUGAAAUGAGUACUAGAGGGCUCCAGGGGGAUGACAAAGUGGCUGGGUUCCUUGGAUGGGU